AUGGAUAUUGUUGAUUGUCCUUCUCGUGAUUCUUCACUUCACGAGCUCGGGGAAGAUGAUGCCCUCGUCUCUACAGGUGAAGAUGUGAGGCCUUUCACUAAAAGGAAGGUGGAUACUCUAAACGAAGAGGAUGAUUCCAUUCCCAUUAGAUUGGAUGGACCUAUCCACAUAUCUGACCUUGGUAGUGUGGAUCUCGAUGGCGUACUUAGUGGAGAGGUUGAUCAUGGUCUAGGUGAUCUAGAUAAUUUAAAUGUGGAUGAUUAUGGUGUAUCAAGCUCAGGUCUUGAUCCUCCCCUUGUUUCACAAAGUUUGGACUCAAACUUGUCCCCGAGCGCUGAUGUUUUAAACAUUUUGUCUACUUCUGAACAGGGUGGUACAGAAGGAGCUUCUAAUCUUGUUAGUGGCGAAGGAACAAUGACACAUAUUUCAGCGCCACCCGUGGAUAUUUCUGCCAUUACCAAGCCAAUUCUGGAUACCAUCGAUUUGGUGUUGAAGAAUGCUUUUGAAGCCUUAGAUACCCCUACAUUAACUGAUUCUGAACGUCGUGAGAUUUUCCAGGCAGUUCGAUCAGUGCUUCCGGUUGGUGAUACUGCUCCUCAGAUUGCCGCUGUCCGCACAGGUUGGGAAAAAUUUGUUUCGAUCUCAGAUGCAGUGCAGGAAGCCCGCAAAACAGUUGAGGAUCAGUCAAAGCAAAAGUCUGAAUUUGUUACUACAGCAGAGAGCAAGGCUGAAUCAAUUGAAGCGUCUUUGAAAACCUCAGCAGCAGAGAUGUCUUCUGUGCUGGAGAAACAUGCUGAGAAGAAGGAGCGUGUGGAGGCCCUCUCCGCUCAACUGCAAGAAGCUAAUGCCGAGUUGCUUACAGCUGGAGAGAGGGUCAAGCAACUGGAGUCGGACCGUUCCGCCAAGCAGGCUGAAGCCAAGAAGCUGCAUGGAGAUUUGCUCGAGGCUAAUGCGAAAGCUUCAGAGGAACUGGAGGCUCUUAAAGGGAAUAUAUCAACGCUGGAGAAUGAAGCCGAGUCUAUUAUCGGAAGUCUGAAGGACUGGCACUCCAAGUCCAACUGA
rnacentral:rRNA from 1 species